rnacentral:rRNA from 1 species
GAGUUUGAUCGUGGCUCAGAGCGAACGUUAGCGGCGGGCCUAACACAUGCAAGUCGAACGAGAAUGUAGGCUUCGGUCUACUAGUAAAGUGGCGGACGGGUGCGUAACACGUGGGUAAUCUACCUUCCGGCGGGGGACAACAGUCCGAAAGGAUUGCUAAUACCGCGUACGUCAGCGGCGCCUACGGGCGCUGUUGGGAAAGAUGGCCUCUCCUUGGAAGCUAUCACCGGAAGAUGAGCCCGCGUCCCAUCAGCUAGUUGGUGAGGUAAUGGCUCACCAAGGCUAAGACGGGUAGCUGGUCUGAGAGGAUGAUCAGCCACACUGGGACUGCGACACGGCCCAGACUCCUACGGGAGGCAGCAGUGGGGAAUAUUGGGCAAUGGGCGAAAGCCUGACCCAGCCACGCCGCGUGAGUGAUGAAGGCCUUCGGUCGUAAGCUCUGUGGGGAGGGACGGAACAAAUACUGGGGCGUAAUCACCCGGGUCCGUGACGGUACCUCCUUAGCAAGCACCGGCUAACCCUCGUGCCAG